GAAGCAGCAGGACUUUGCUAGAAGAGGUGAACGGGAACAACCUGAUCAUGGAGAGGCACCGUGAGGACGCCGCCGGUCGUAGAGUUGCCGGCCAGGACGGUGUCGAGUGCUGAUGGCCAGAUUUGUGCCGAGGGCGCUGAUCCAGGGGCAGGCAGUGCAGACAAACCUCAAGCUUCAGAGCACUCCAUCCAGCAAGUUGACCAAAAAACAUCUGGAUGGACGCAAAGGUCUGAAUUGGGGCUGCCGCACUAGGCAGAGGCGGUUCGGAAUCGGAUAUGGGAAGAGCAGGCUGAACGUAUACCGGACAAUGCAUGCAAGAGAUAGUAUGUGGCUGCACGGGGAAACCAAUAGUUGAAAAUACACACACUUGUCGGUGUGAGUGCCCUGCCCUUACAAGAUUGCUGCGUUCGAAGGACAAUGGGAGGUACAUAGUGGAGCAUCGUGAUGAGCACAACCAUUUGUUGUCCCCCUCCUAUGGACACACAAUACACUGGCCAUCGCACAGGCAUAUCAACAUGUACCGCAGGGAUCUAGUUAAGCAAUUGUGGCAGAACAGUUAACCUUGCAAAGGUGUACAGCAUAACUGGGAGCUUCUUUGGCAGGAUGGAAAAUGUACCAGUUCACGAAAAGAGCAUUGUGUAGUCUGUGUGGCAAAAUUAGUCGUGAGCAAGCAGAAGAUGACGCCAGGAAAGCAAAAGCAAAGGUGUACAUCAUAAUUGCUUCCAGGAACUAUGCUCAAAGGAUCCACAGUUCACAUGUCGAGUUCAGGCGGACAAAGAAGGAAGGAUCAACACUGUAAUGUGGGCAACUGGCAGCAGCAAAUUGCACUACAACUUCUUCCGAGAUGUAGUAACAUUUGAUACAACCUACAGGGCCAAUCUAUAUGACAUGCGGUUUGGUCUUUUUGUGGCUGUUAACAACCAUUUUCAGAGCAUUAUACUAGCUGGUGUGCUGGUUCGUGAUGAGAAGGUUGAAACAUUUGAGUGGGUUUUCGCAUAAUUUAUCAGGAUAAUGGGCGGUACUGCUCCACAAACAGGUAUCAUGAUCUGAAUUGCUAUGUGAAUCAUAUUAAAACUUCCUCCUGUAGAUCAUUACAGACCUGACACUGAAAUGACGUGUUUGAUUUUCAUAUCAAAAUCGAGCAAUGGUAGUAACAAUAAAAAAUUUGAUGCCAGACACAACUCACAGAUGGUGCAAACGACACGUGCGGAAGAAUGCAAAAGAGUCCUUGGGUCCUUUGUACUAAAGAAGAGUGACUCCCUUCCUGAAUUUCAUAAGGUUAUUAAUCACAUGGUGACCAUAGAUGAAUUUGAAGAAGCCUGGAAGUAUCUUGUGGAGAAGUACAACCUGAAGAACUACACUUACAUGAAGUAAUUGUAUGAGAUCCAACACAAGUGGGCGAAGCCUUAUUUCAAAGUGUAUUCUGUGCUAAAAUGACGAGUACAUAGCGGAGUGAAAGUGCGAACCACAUGUUGAAGAAUUAUGUGCCUCCUGGAUGCCUGAUGCAUAGUUCGUGAGGAAGUACAUGCAUAUAGUUAAGAGAUGGACCCAGGAUUCACAUGAUAUCCCCCUGCCGCACCUAACUCAGUACCAACGGCAGCCGUGCUCAGGAGAACCCGUUUAGUUUCAGGCAUUUCAAUAUGUAUAUGCACGCAAUGGAGCUUGUGCGGAUGGGAGACACCGAGACGGUAGUGUAGAAGCAUAUGAGCACAUGAUAAAACUGUUCAAGCAUUGUGAGGUUGAAAUGAAACCAUACACAGAAAUGAGGGACGGCCUAGGACUGGAGGACAGGUUGGCUGAGAAUGGAGAUGUUCUGAAUCAGGUUCAGUUAGAAGGCGUUGUGUUGGCUGCAACAGUAGGUGGACAUGUUGAUAUGGAGAACGGCGGCAACAAUUCAACACAUAAAUUGGGAAAUAUGCUUGCAGGUUUUAUUACCUCCAGCUAAGCGCAAGCAGAUAGGGAGGCCUACCACAAGUAUGGAUAAGGCACCAUACGGAGGGUUGAGUAAACGGACCAGAUUAUGCAGCAUUUGUCGGCGACAAGGCCACAAGAGAACAACUUGUCCUGAUCAUGGUGAUGUACCGAAACAACCACGAAAGCUGGCAAGAUGCAAGAAUUGUGGCGUUAAAAGCCGCCGUUGAAACAAUUGUCAUAAGGCGGGUGAGCUGAGACGGACGUAAAUGUGUGAACUAUGUGACCAGGGAAUGUCAUGAACUUGUGGUCUAUUUGUAUAAUUAGAAUUUGUAGCUUGUUUGUUGGACAUGUGCUUAUAAAAUAAUUUGCUUUCCAUCAGACCUUGCUUUGACAGUUUAUAAUGUUUAAUGAAUUCUAUGGCAUAGUUGGUAAUGACUCUAGUAUUCAUAAAUUAGACUUGUUCAGUGUGAGUGUAUUGAUACUACAGGGUUGCAAUGUUCAGAGGGAUUUCAUGCCCAAAUUUAAGAUUCUGCAUGAUCUUUUUUAUUUGAAUUACCACGUGUCAAGUAGAUGCAGCAGAUGCAUCUGCGUGGCUUCAAUCAGUGGCAUCAGAGGGUGUGUGGGAUGGGUUGAGCUUCGUUCUCACAUGGUGCAUCUGCAGUGAGCAAGUCUGAAGAAUACAGACAUGGGAGCGACUUCUCGAUUCAGGCUGCUGCAUCUUCGGAGGCGUCAGUCAAUCAACGAGCAGAUCCUAAACCGGCGGGGAGUGCACACUCGGUGCUUUCUUCACUGUCGGAUUAUGUGAGCACAUGGUGACUGACCAUUACAAAACCAUUUUGGCCUGCAUGUUAACUGU